ensembl:lncRNA
AUGCGAAUGCGUUAUGAAAAUCACAUCAAACUCGGAUCAUCAAAACAAUAUCGUGCUUUUGUUAGGCAAACAUUUUUGAAGACGCAGGUUGAAACUGAGUGCGAAACAUGGUCCUCGUGGACGUUGUUUCAAAGCCGAACAACGGAAUGGACAAAGCUUUCUCAGGUGAUGAUUAGUUCAAGGCCUUUCAGACGUUCUCUACACUGUCAGAUAGAGCAGCAUGAUUAUAGUUCUCUACACUGUCAGAUAGAGCAGCAUGAUUACAGUUCUCUACACUGUCAGAUAGAGCAGCAUGAUUAUAGUUCUCUACACUGUCAGAUAGAGCAGCAUGAUUAUAGUUCUCUACACUGUCAGAUAGAGCAGCAUGAUUAUAGUUCUCUACACUGUCAGAUAGAGCAGCAUGAUUAUAGUUCUCCAUACUGUCAGAUAGAGCAGCAUGAUUAUAGUUCUCUACACUGUCAGAUAGAGCAGCAUGAUUAUAGUUCUCUACACUGUCAGAUAGAGCAGCAUGAUUAUAGUUCUCUAUACUGUCAGAUAGAGCAGCAUGAUUAUAGUUCUCUAUACUGUCAGAUAGAGCAGCAUGAUUAUAGUUCUCUACACUGUCAGAUAGAGCAGCAUGAUUAUAGUUCUCUACACUGUCAGAUAGAGCAGCAUGAUUACAGUUCUCUACACUGUCAGAUAGAGCAGCAUGAUUAUAGUUCUCUACACUGUCAGAUAGAGCAGCAUGAUUAUAGUUCUCUACACUGUCAGAUAGAGCAGCAUGAUUAUAGUUCUCUACACUGUCAGAUAGAGCAGCAUGAUUAUAGUUCUCUACACUGUCAGAUAGAGCAGCAUGAUUAUAGUUCUCUACACUGUCAGAUAGAGCAGCAUGAUUAUAGUUCUCUACACUGUCAGAUAGAGCAGCAUGAUUACAGUUCUCUACACUGUCAGAUAGAGCAGCAUGAUUAUAGUUCUCUAUACUGUCAGAUAGAGCAGCAUGAUUAUAGUUCUCUACACUGUCAGAUAGAGCAGCAUGAUUAUAGUUCUCUACACUGUCAGAUAGAGCAGCAUGAUUACAGUUCUCUACACUGUCAGAUAGAGCAGCAUGAUUAUAGUUCUCUACACUGUCAGAUAGAGCAGCAUGAUUAUAGUUCUCUACACUGUCAGAUAGAGCAGCAUGAUUAUAGUUCUCUACACUGUCAGAUAGAGCAGCAUGAUUAUAGUUCUCUACACUGUCAGAUAGAGCAGCAUGAUUAUAGUUCUCUACACUGUCAGAUAGAGCAGCAUGAUUAUAGUUCUCUACACUGUCAGAUAGAGCAGCAUGAUUAUAGUUCUCUACACUGUCAGAUAGAGCAGCAUGAUUAUAGUUCUCUACACUGUCAGAUAGAGCAGCAUGAUUACAGUUCUCUACACUGUCAGAUAGAGCAGCAUGAUUACAGUUCUCUACACUGUCAGAUAGAGCAGCAUGAUUAUAGUUCUCUACACUGUCAGAUAGAGCAGCAUGAUUACAGUUCUCUACACUGUCAGAUAGAGCAGCAUGAUUACAGUUCUCUACACUGUCAGAUAGAGCAGCAUGAUUACAGUUCUCUACACUGUCAGAUAGAGCAGCAUGAUUAUAGUUCUCUACACUGUCAGAUAGAGCAGCAUGAUUAUAGUUCUCUACACUGUCAGAUAGAGCAGCAUGAUUAUAGUUCUCUACACUGUCAGAUAGAGCAGCAUGAUUAUAGUUCUCUACACUGUCAGAUAGAGCAGCAUGAUUACAGUUCUCUACACUGUCAGAUAGAGCAGCAUGAUUAUAGAUCUCCACACUAA